GCCUGGGUGGCUCAGUUGGUUGAGCGUCUGACUUCGGCUCAGGUCAUGAUCUCACGGUUCGUGGGUUCGAGCCCCAUGUCAGGCU
rnacentral:tRNA from 1 species